rnacentral:lncRNA from 1 species
AAUGUGUUCUUUUUUAAAUGCUUUGUAUAAUAUGUAAGUACUAAAAUAUGUCCAAAUUGAAGGUACUUACUAUUUAGUAGACGCGGGUUAUACUAAUGGAGAAGGAUUCUUGGCACCUUAUAGAGGACAAAAGUACCACUUGAAUGAUUGGAACGAUGAACAUCAACCUACUUGUGCUAAAGAGUAUUUCAACAUGAAACACUCGACGGNAACUGAUAUGCAAUUGUGUUCAUAGCUUAUCUUAUCUUCUGUGUAUAGAUUUGUAUAUAUCUGCAGUUGUGUGUAUUUUGUAUAUAUUUAUGUACCUGUAUGUUUGAUAAAUAUCCUCAAAGGAUCAAAUCUGAUCAUAUGCAGUAUGGCACGUCUUCCACUAACUAGAAGAAAGACUAUUCAAAGGAAGAGACUUAUUUUAUAUUUGGAGCAGCUAAAAAUGAUUGGGUCGGUUCAUUGGUUUUUUCAAAUGAUUGUGUUGUUAGGAUUAAGGGUGGCAUUAAGGCCUAGGUAUUCCAUUUUUAAGAUGGAAAGAAUUAAUUAUGUUGAUAGGUUAGUUAAUCAAAGUGAUGACAUUUGUGUUAAGAAUCUUAGAAUGAACAUGGGAGCAUUUCAUAAAUUAUGCUAUACACUUGAAUCACGAGGAUACAUACGUGAUAGUAAGCAUAUGAAUGUUGUUGAACAAGUUGCCGUUUUUCUAUAUAUAUUAGCGCACCAUAAGAAAAUGAGUGUUAUAAGCACCUCUUUUCAAAGGUCGACUGAAUCGAUUAGUCGACACUUUCAUAUGGUUCUUCUCGGGGUCUUGAGGUUACAAGAAUUUAAGCAUCCUGAACCGAUUCCAAAUGACUCAACCGACGGAAAUUGGAAGUACUUUAAGGUACAAUCAAACAAUUCGAAAAAAUUUAUGCUAGAAUAUAUCUAAUAGUUAAAAAUUAUCUCAUUAUAUGUUUAUUGUUUAUUAGAAUUGCCUAGGGGCUCUAGAUGGGACACAUAUAAGAAUGAAUGUAGCUGCUGAAGACAAGGCUAGGUAUCGAAACAGGAAGGGUGAAAUUACUACUAAUGUCCUUGCCGCGGUUACACCAGAUUUACAGUUCUCUUAUGUAUUGACUGGUUGGGAAGGGUCCGCGGCUGAUGGGAGAGUUUUAAAAGAUGCUUUGUCAAGAAAAAAUGGACUCAAAGUCCCAAAGGGUAAAAAGAAUCAUCUAAUUGUUUUUUAAUGUGUUCUUUUUUAAAUGCUUUGUAUAAUAUGUAAGUACUAAAAUAUGUCCAAAUUGAAGGUACUUACUAUUUAGUAGACGCGGGUUAUACUAAUGGAGAAGGAUUCUUGGCACCUUAUAGAGGACAAAAGUACCACUUGAAUGAUUGGAACGAUGAACAUCAACCUACUUGUGCUAAAGAGUAUUUCAACAUGAGACACUCGACGGCUAGAAAUGUAGUUGAGCGUUCUUUUGGCGUCUUAAAGAAGAGAUGGGCAAUCUUGAGAAGUCCUUCAU